CAACUUCACCAUUCUUUCACCAACUAACCAAUCCAUAUUUGUUCCAAGUCUGGCUUACCACAAUCCCAGCUUCAGCUCAAGUGCACAUUUUUCUUCUAUAUGAGGCUUUAUGUACACUGAAAAUUUGAGACUGGAAUUGUUUAGAAUUCUAUAUUUAUGAAAGAAGCUCUUGAUUCCCAAUUAUGAUUUCAGAUGAUGAUGUGGCACAGCUGUAAAGAAAGCCUCUGUUUUGGAAGACUGACUGGAGUUUCAUUAAAUGCCCAGUUUCCACAAGUUUUAUGCUCUACUAAAUUCUUCAGGUGUGUUUAAUUACUAUUUACAGUUUGGGUUCACACUGGUAAAUCACUUCUUAUGUGU